GCCUCAGCCAAACGCUACUGGAAGGCAACACAAAAACAAGGUUGGGAAACAAACUGCUCAUUUUACGCACCAAAAAAACAACCCACCCAAACCAGAGGGGGGGGACGGGGCUGGCUGCGUGCGUAACGGAGGCGCAGUACCGGAGCGAGGGCGCAGCGGCGGCGUUCAGCGGAGGACCGGGGCUUUCGGAGUGGGAGCUAUAGAGAGAACGAGAGAGAGAGAGAAGAGAGAGAACGAGAGAGAAGGAGAGAGAGGAGGGGGACGUGGAGCUCAAACACACGCCGCUACACUUGAGACACAACCCCGGAGGAACCCUGCUGACUUUUUUCUCUCCCCAGGCUUCAUUUCCUCCAAAAAAAAAAAAAAAUUCCAAAAAAAAAAAUCCAACCGGAGCUGGUGUCCCGAGACCGCGUGGGGGUGAACCGACGAGUUCCCUGAGAGCUGCGUUUGGUGGGGGGGGGAUGAAAGCCAGGAUGAGAUGUAAAGAAACCACACUGAAGUGAAGACAACUGACCACCAAGGGCGGAGACGAGGCGGACCACAGCAACGCAGGAGGCCUGGGGAAAUCAUUAACAGCACACGAACGCAUACAAUAUGACUGACUGGAUCCCCCUCCUCCCUCCGCGUCCCUGAGACCCCGACUCAGACCUCGGCCUCCGGGCCUGCCGACUGACCUCCAACAUCUCACACAUCUCGCCGUUUCACACCGAGCCAACCUCACUCCGACUCUCUCUGGAGACCCCCGACCCAUCCCUCCCUGCCUCCCUCCCAAAAAAA